AAAAAAAAAACUUGAGGUGGCAUGUUAUUGCAAUUAUUAUGUGUUCCUUAUCUUGCUUUCAGUUUGUUCUUAUACUAGUUAGCAACUCUUUGUUUCUUAUCUUUUAGAGGACUUUAUAUUUGGCAGAUUUCUUUGAAAGUUUGUUAGUUUAAGGUAUUGCUGGAUAUUUUAUUUAUCCUUUGCUUUAAACAAGUGCCAAUCAUUAGCAGAGAAGAUGUUUCUGAGAUGAAUAAUGACUGUCGGUCCAAACCUUAUCUCCUGAGUGGAAUCUUGUAAACAUGUUAAUUUGAUGCAUGCAGUACGUAGAACCAUAGAACAUGACAGAACUGAACUGAGGUGCCUGCUGUCUGCCAUUAUAAUGUCAAAUAUUUUAUA
rnacentral:misc_RNA from 1 species